UUUAGCAAGUAAUAUACAAGCAAAGAGCCCUUUAGUUUGUAACCCCGAAACUGAGCGAGCUACUUCAAGACAGUCUUUAUAGGACAACCCCGUCUCUGUGGCAAAAGAGUGGGAAGAGCUUCAAGUAGAGGUGAAAAACCUACCGAGCACAGUUAUAGCUGGUUGCCUGAGAAAUGAAUAGAAGUUCAGCCCUUUAAAAUUUCCCGUCCCACAUGCCUGUGCUAAAAUUGGUCAAGGAAAUUAAAGGAGUUAAUCAAAAGGGGUACAGCCCUUUUGAUAAAAGAAACAACUUUUAUAGGUGACCCAGGAUCAUAUUACCCAAGGGUUUCAAAUUAAGUGGGCCUAAAAGCAGCCAUCUUAAUAGAAAGCGUUAAAGCUCAAAUUAAAUAUUACCCUUAUAUACUGAUAACUUAUCCUCCCCCCUACCCUCUACCAGGCCCUCUUAUGCUUUCAUAAGAAUAAUUAUGCUAAA
rnacentral:rRNA from 1 species